CAGUCGACGAAGCACUUUAUUUGAUUUCCUUCGGGACUGAUUAUUUUGUGACCGAUUAGCGGACGGGUGAGUAACGCGUGGGUAACCUGCCUUAUACAGGGGGAUAACAGUUGGAAACGGCUGCUAAUACCGCAUAAGCGCACAGCAUCGCAUGAUGCAGUGUGAAAAACUCCGGUGGUAUAAGAUGGACCCGCGUUGGAUUAGCUAGUUGGUGAGGUAACGGCCCACCAAGGCGACGAUCCAUAGCCGACCUGAGAGGGUGACCGGCCACAUUGGGACUGAGACACGGCCCAAACUCCUACGGGAGGCAGCAGUGGGGAAUAUUGCACAAUGGGCGAAAGCCUGAUGCAGCGACGCCGCGUGAGCGAAGAAGUAUUUCGGUAUGUAAAGCUCUAUCAGCAGGGAAGAUAAUGACGGUACCUGACUAAGAAGCACCGGCUAAAUACGUGCCAGCAGCCGCGGUAAUACGUAUGGUGCAAGCGUUAUCCGGAUUUACUGGGUGUAAAGGGAGCGCAGGCGGUGCGGCAAGUCUGAUGUGAAAGCCCGGGGCUCAACCCCGGUACUGCAUUGGAAACUGUCGUACUAGAGUGUCGGAGGGGUAAGCGGAAUUCCUAGUGUAGCGGUGAAAUGCGUAGAUAUUAGGAGGAACACCAGUGGCGAAGGCGGCUUACUGGACGAUAACUGACGCUGAGGCUCGAAAGCGUGGGGAGCAAACAGGAUUAGAUACCCUGGUAGUCCACGCCGUANACGAUGAAUACUAGGUGUUGGGAAGCAUUGCUUCU
rnacentral:rRNA from 1 species